rnacentral:rRNA from 1 species
GUGUUGGGGGUCAAACCUCGGUGCCGCAGCUAACGCAUUAAGUAUUCCGCCUGGGGAGUACGCACGCAAGUGUGAAACUCAAAGGAAUUGACGGGGACCCGCACAAGUAGCGGAGCAUGUGGUUUAAUUUGAAGCAACGCGAAGAACCCUACCAAAUCUUGACAUCCUAAUGACCGGUCCUUAAUCGGAUCUUCUCUUCGGAGCAUUAGUGACAGGUGGUGCAUGGUUGUCGUCAGCUCGUGUCGUGAGAUGUUGGGUUAAGUCCCGCAACGAGCGCAACCCUUGUCUUUAGUUGCCAGCAGGUUAAGCUGGGCACUCUAGAGAGACUGCCGUGGACAACACGGAGGAAGGUGGGGAUGACGUCAAAUCAUCAUGCCCCUUAUGAUUUGGGCUACACACGUGCUACAAUGGUCGGUACAACGGGCAGCUAAGGAGUAAUCUGGAGCGAAUCCUAAAAAGCCGAUCCCAGUUCGGAUUGUGGGCUGCAACUCGCCCACAUGAAGUUGGAGUUACUAGUAAUCGUGGAUCAGAAUGUCGCGGUGAAUGCGUUCCCGGGUCUUGUACACACCGCCCGUCACACCAUGGAAGUUGGGGGGACCCGAAGCCUGUGAUCUAACCGUAAGGAGGAAGCAGUCGAAGGUAAAACCAAUGACUAGGGUGAAGUCGUAACAAGGUAGCCGUAUCGGAAGGUGCGGCUGGAUCACCUCCUU